GGCGGGCCUAACACAUCAAGUCGAGCGAGAAAGUGGCUUCGGCCAUCAGUAAAGCGCGGACGGGUAGUAACACGUAGGUAGUCUUCCCUUGAGCGGGGGACAACGUUUCGAAAGGAACGCUAAUACCGCAUACGUUUCCGAGGACCCCGGUCCUCGGAAGGAAAGCUAGGUCGCAAGAUCCGGCACUCGAGGAGGAGCCUGCGUCGCAUCAGCUAGUUGGUGGGGUAACGGCCUACCAAGGCGAAGACGCGUAGCUGGUCUGAGAGGAUGAUCAACCACACUGGGACUGAGACACGGCCCAGACUCCUACGGGAGGCAGCAGUGGGGAAUAUUGGACAAUGGGCGCAAGCCUGAUCCAGCCACGCCGCGUGAGUGAUGAAGGCCUUCGGGUCGUAAAGCUCUGUGGGGAGGGACGAACCGCUGCUGGUGCAUAUCCAGCAGCAUGACGGUACCCCCUUAGC
rnacentral:rRNA from 1 species